rnacentral:rRNA from 1 species
UACGAAGGGGGCUAGCGUUGUUCGGAAUUACUGGGCGUAAAGCGCGCGCAGGCGGUCUUCCAAGUCAGUGGUGAAAGCCCGGAGCUCAACUCCGGAACUGCCAUUGAAACUGUGAGACUUGAGGAUGAGAGAGGUGAGUGGAAUUCCCAGUGUAGAGGUGAAAUUCGUAGAUAUUGGGAAGAACACCGGUGGCGAAGGCGGCUCACUGGCUCGUAACUGACGCUCAUGCACGACAGCGUGGGGGAUCAAACAGGG